CAGUAGCCGCGGGAAUACGAAGGGGGCUAGCGUUGCUCGGAAUUACUGGGCGUAAAGGGAGCGUAGGCGGACAUUUAAGUCAGGGGUGAAAUCCCAGAGCUCAACUCUGGAACUGCCUUUGAUACUGGGUGUCUUGAGUGUGAUAGAGGUAUGUGGAACUCCGAGUGUAGAGGUGAAAUUCGUAGAUAUUCGGAAGAACACCAGUGGCGAAGGCGACAUACUGGAUCAUUACUGACGCUGAGGCUCGAAAGCGUGGGGAGCAAACAGGAUUAGAUACCCCCGUAGUCCCUGUCUCUUAUAU
rnacentral:rRNA from 1 species